CACACACGCACCGCGUCCACCUGGUCACGAGUCACAGAACCUUCUAUUGAAGUAAAUGACCUGGAGUUCACACAUACCUGUCAGUCAGGAAGAGGAUUGCAGUAAGACAUCUGAUCAAUUUAUAGAAUGCAGUUGGGGCCAUUCCACACAUGGCAAUCAUACCAGGACUGUCACAGGCACCUGAUGUCCAGGACCACACAACCCGUGAUCCUGCUGGCUGGGCCAAGCCUCCACAUUCAAUAAGAAUGGGACUGUUCCCAGGCUCUCUCAUGCAUCUCUAAGCUCUCCAACACAUAACAAUUUACUGGCUGGGAGCAGCAUAGGCAAGGACCAAGAGCUGGGCUAGUGCUCACACCCAUUCCCCAUCCACCACCUCCCCACCCAGGUAGUAUUCCCUCUGGCCUGGCCUGGUCAGCUGGUCUCCUGACCCUGUUUAAUGCUGGUCCAACAACCUGCCAGAUCAGAGACACAGACAGCCAAGGGCGCUAUGAUUACACCAUGCCUCUGACUAGCCUACGUCCUGCUUCAUCUC
rnacentral:lncRNA from 1 species